rnacentral:sRNA from 1 species
GAAUCUUCAUGGCCACAAGGAUUUGGCCAACUCACCCAGCUGGGCAUGGAGCAGCAUUAUGAACUUGGAGAGUAUAUAAGAAAGAGAUAUAGAAAAUUCUUGAAUGAGUCCUAUAAACAUGAACAGGUUUAUAUUCGAAGCACAGACGUUGACCGGACUUUGAUGAGUGCUAUGACAAACCUGGCAGCCCUGUUUCCCCCAGAAGGUGUCAGCAUCUGGAAUCCUGUCCUACUCUGGCAGCCCAUCCCGGUGCACACAGUUCCUCUUUCUGAAGAUCAGGUCAGUACACUGGGAAAACCAGGAGAUUUCAGAUGGACCUAGAAUGAGGAAGGCAGGCUACUCAGCAGUUGUGGAUUUGGGAGUCUGGACACUCCUUGAGCUGUGCAGUUUUAAUUCUUUCUUAAAUAAAGAUACAAAGGACAAUUUAGGACAUGGAAAACCCUAGCUAAGAGAGAGUAGGAACCAAAUUUCUCUUUGGAUCUGUAUGAUCCACUUUGUUUUGCCACUCUUGCAACUCUUGGCAAUUUUCCCCCUCAUCGUCAUACACAGAGAGAGAGAGAGAG